GCAGGAAAGGCUCUACACUUUUUCAAGGAGGAUAGAUUCUCUUUCACUGAAGAAGAUGGAUUCCAACAAUCCUCUUUUGUGAUUUGGUCACACAGUGAUUCCUAAGCCAAUAGCUGACAAUACCAGUGCUUUCAGUUAUUGUUUCCUGCUGAAAGGCAGUGUUCUCUCUGAGGUCCAAAGACUGACAUUUCUGUGGACUUAAUCUACAUGUCCAAGGACACUUCAAAGGUUAAAUAUGUUGAAAACUAAGACUUACAGUUGAGUCUCUGAUGAGACUGCAGCCCCUGCUGAUACCUGGAUUGCAGCUUGGUUAAGAGCCUGAACAAAGGACCCAGGUGAGCUGUGCUCCAACUCCUGACCCAUGGAAACUGUGAGAUAAUAAAUGUGUAUUGUUUU
rnacentral:lncRNA from 9 species